AACGAACGCUGGCGGCAUGCCUAACACAUGCAAGUCGAACGAGACCUUCGGGUCUAGUGGCGCACGGGUGCGUAACGCGUGGGAACCUGCCCUUAGGUUCGGAGUAACUCCCCGAAAGGGGUGCUAAUACCGGAUAAUGUCUUCGGACCAAAGAUUUAUCGCCUUUGGAUGGGCCCGCGUUGGAUUAGCUAGUUGGUAGGGUAAAAGCCUACCAAGGCGACGAUCCAUAGCUGGUCUGAGAGGAUGAUCAGCCACACUGGGACUGAGACACGGCCCUGACUCCUACGGGAGGCAGCAGUGGGGAAUAUUGGACAAUGGGCGAAAGCCUGAUCCAGCAAUGCCGCGUGAGUGAUGAAGGCCUUAGGGUUGUAAAGCUCUUUUACCCGGGAUGAUAAUGACAGUACCGGGAGAAUAAGCUCCGGCUAACUCCGUG
rnacentral:rRNA from 1 species